GACGAACGCUGGCGGCGUGCCUAAUACAUGCAAGUCGAACGCUUUUUCUUUCACCGGAGCUUGCUCCACCGAAAGAAAAAGAGUGGCGAACGGGUGAGUAACACGUGGGUAACCUGCCCAUCAGAAGGGGAUAACACUUGGAAACAGGUGCUAAUACCGUAUAACACUAUUUUCCGCAUGGAAGAAAGUUGAAAGGCGCUUUUGCGUCACUGAUGGAUGGACCCGCGGUGCAUUAGCUAGUUGGUGAGGUAACGGCUCACCAAGGCAACGAUGCAUAGCCGACCUGAGAGGGUGAUCGGCCACACUGGGACUGAGACACGGCCCAGACUCCUACGGGAGGCAGCAGUAGGGAAUCUUCGGCAAUGGACGAAAGUCUGACCGAGCAACGCCGCGUGAGUGAAGAAGGUUUUCGGAUCGUAAAACUCUGUUGUUAGAGAAGGACAAGGAUGAGAGUA
rnacentral:rRNA from 1 species